rnacentral:lncRNA from 1 species
GGUACAUCUGCACUGAACGUGACCGACUUCGGAGCUAUUUCUGCUGUCAAGAUUUGCUCCGAUGGGAUAUGGAUAUAAAUAUCCCUCCGACCUGAGACCGCCAUGGUGACUUGCAAGCAACUCACUGCACUUAGGCACUGGACUACUUGAAUUUUUAAUUCAGUGACGGAAGGCUGCUGGGUGUAGUCAAGUACUUGACUUGUCGGUGUGUGUGUCAAGAUGGGAUUGACCACUCCAGUUUAAGAGCUAUGUACAGUCGUAUUUCAAUUUAGCAAAAUCUUGGCCAGGGUAGUCUUUGUGAGGAGUCACAGGACUGUUUGAGUUGAGCACGAUUCGGAUGAUCUAAUCAAGGUGGACAGUUUAACCCUGAGUCGUCCUAAACACAGGGGUCAAAAGGAUGAAUUAUACAGUAACCAUAUUCAUGUAGGUUCUG